AUGAUUUGAUUUUCCAAACUUCGUUUCAAGAUGACUGGGCAAGAGGCUAUGAUCUUGACAACGUCAGGGUUAGAAGCGCCUUUGGAGUAGAAAAAAUGGAGUUUGGGCAAAAGGGAUUUGUCUGGGUCGGAUACGAGGAGUUGAGGUUGUGAUCUGACAAUUUUUGAGGUUUGGGAUUCGGAGAAGCCAUGGCUGUUGAAGAAGGCAAAGACCGAAUUGGGUUUUUCUGGGGUUUUAAAGUGCAAGUAUUUGGAAGCCGAUAGAGCCGCUUUAUGGGAGAAGCCACAUGAGUUUAUGAGGUGAGACACAAUGAAU
rnacentral:lncRNA from 1 species